AGAGUUUGAUCCUGGCUCAGAACGAACGCUGGCGGCAUGCCUAACACAUGCAAGUCGAGCGAGAACCGAGAGCUUGCUCUCGGGGAAAGCGGCGCACGGGUGAGUAACACGUGGAUAACGUACCAAUUAGUUUGGGAUAACCCACCGAAAGGUGAGCUAAUACCGGAUAAGUUCUUUUUGAGUACGCUCAGAAUGAGGAAAGCGGGGCAACUCGCGCCAUAUGAACGGUUCGCGUCCCAUUAGCUAGUUGGCGGGGUAAUGGCCCACCCAGGCUACUAUGGGUAGCUGGUCUGCGAGGAUGAUCAGUCACACUGGAACUGAGACACGGUCCAGACUCCUACGGGAGGCAGCAGUCGGGAAUAUUGGACAAUGGGCGAAAGCCUGAUCCAGCAACUCCGCGUGAGGGAUGAAGGCCCUCGGGUCGUAAACCUCUGGGGAAGAACCACCUGUAGUAUAAUACACUGCAGGCUUGACGGUACCUUCAAAGGAAGCACCGGGUAACUCCGUGCCAGCAGCCGCGGUAAUACGGAGGGUGCAAGCGUUGUUCGGAAUUAUUGGGCGUAAAGCGGGUGUAGGCGGUUUUGCAGUCAGACGUGAAAUUCCCUCGGCUUAGCUGAGCAACUGCAUCUGAUGCUGCCAGACUUGAGUGUCUGAUGCAUGUUGAAUUCCCGGUGUUAGACGUCACAUUCGUAAGAUUUUCGGGAGGACCACCCUGUCGCGAAGGCGCCCCUUCUGAAGCACACCUGACCGCUGAGACCGCGAAGGCGUGGGUAGCCACCCAGGAUUUAGAAUACCCCUUGUUAGUUCCCACGCCUGUUAACCGAAUGAAUGUGCUUAGUUGUUGGUGGGGUUAUUGACCCCCCGCCAGUGGCCAAAGCUUAACCGCCGUUAAGCCACUCUCCCGCCUUGGGGAGUACCGGUCGGCAGGAUUUAAAACUCCAAAGGAAAUUGAACCGGGGGCCCCCGCCCCAAGGCGGGUGGGAGCCAUGUGGUUUAAUUUGGACCGCAACGCCGCAGAACCCUUACUUGGGUCUGAACUCCACCGGACAGCGCCCCAGAGAUGCCGCUCCUCCCCUUCGGGGUCCGCUGUGGAGGUGCUGCAUGGCUGUCGUCCAGCUCGUGUCCGUGAGAUGUUGGGGUUAAGUCCCGCAACGAGCGCAACCCUUGUCCUUAGUUGCCAUCGGGUCAUGCCGGGAACUCUAGGGGGACUGCCGGUGUCAAACCGGAGGAAGGUGGGGAUGACGUCAAGUCCUCAUGGCCCUUAUGCCCAGGGCUACACACGUGCUACAAUGGUCGGUACAAUGGGUUGCCAAGCCGCAAGGUGGAGCUAAUCUCAAAAAACCGGCCUCAGUUCGGAUUGCAGUCUGCAACUCGACUGCAUGAAGUUGGAAUCGCUAGUAAUCGCGGAUCAGAAUGCCGCGGUGAAUACGUUCCCGGGCCUUGUACACACCGCCCGUCACACCAUGGGAGUCAGUUGCUCCAGAAGUGCCUGAGCUAACCUCACGGAGGCAGGGUACCAAGGAGUGGUUGGCGACUGGGGUGAAGUCGUAACAAGGUAACC
rnacentral:rRNA from 1 species